AAUUUGAGAGGAGCUGUCCUUAGUACGAGAGGACCGGGAUGGACGCACCGCUGGUGUACCAGUUGUCUUGCCAAAGGCAUCGCUGGGUAGCUAUGUGCGGAAGGGAUAAGUGCUGAAAGCAUCUAAGCAUGAAGCCYCCCUCGAGAUGAGAUUUCCCAUAGCGUCAAGCUAGUAAGAUCCCUGAAAGAUGAUCAGGUUGAUAGGUCUGAGGUGGAAGCGUGGUGACACGUGGAGCUGACAGAUACUAAUAGAUCGAGGACUUAACCACA
rnacentral:rRNA from 1 species